UUGAUUGAAUAUUAAAUAGUAUUUACAAUCCAGGUUGAGGUUCUACUAAUUCCAUUCAUUGAUUUAAACUUUUUUGGGUCAAAUGUCUUAGAAUUAAGAAGGAAACAGGAGAAUACACCACCACCUCCCACAAAAUGUUGAAUGAAAAAUAAUUGUAGAGUUAGUCAAGGUAUCAAAUUCGAUCCAAAAAUUUAAACCUCAAUGAUCAAGAAAUUCAUAUUGUAUCCAUAAUACAGUUCAAAAUAAACUUGGAAAAGCUCACUAGCACGUGAUAAUAAAAAUAACAUCCAAAAAGUCUCAAGAAAUGAACAAAGCUUUUCAAAGAGACAUUCUUCAGCCGAAUUAACUACUCAAGCAGUGGCAGGCAAAAAUGCUCUUCCAGGUUGACGUUUUGCCAAGGGUCCAUGACAUCCAAGAAGCUACAAGAAAGGAAAGACACAACCAAUGUUUAGCUUUUCUUAAACUUGUUACAGAAUAUGGGAUGAUUAAGAAACAUUUAAUUCACACACUACCGGUUCACAGUUAAUAAUCAUAUCCAAACAAAAUGAACAGUGAAACUUGUACCUUAGCGUUGACACCAUCUGGUACAAUGCGAUUCUCAGACUUCAACUUCACAUAAUCAGUUCUGUUGAAUUUGGUGAAGCCCCUACACAUUACAGGUGUCAGACUAGGUAAGUUACUAUAGCAAAACUGCUGAUAUCAUCAAUAGCUACACCUAAAGCCAAUUCCAAUAAAUAAAUAAAAUAAAGUAAGCUUCAAGAGGACUCGAGAAAUAGUGUAUCCCCACCAAGCAAUAAUUUUAAAACCAAUGGAAGAAGCCUGGAUAUAUAGUUUAGUAAGCAAAAGUCCUCUUUUUAUGACUCUGUAAAACAGUGUAAAUGGUGAAAGAAAACUUAGGCCAUGAAACUUCUCUUUAAAUGAUGAUACAAAACACAGGUCAGCUACUUGCCAAAACACAAUAGAUAAAAUGUAAUUUUGAUAAUCCAGAUUGUGAACAAAUCAUUCCAUGCACAAAUAAUGAGGUGGCACAAAAGUUAUGAUAGAUUCCUAAAAACAUAAAUAACAAAUAAACAUGGAAAAAAAAAAGAAAGGAAAAAAGAUGAAAAACAUACCAUUUCCUGCUGACAAUGAUCUUUUGG
rnacentral:misc_RNA from 1 species